GGCCUCGGAGCUCAGUUGGCUAGAGCGUUGGAUUUACUAUAAGCCUUCCCCUUGUUGGCGUGGGUUCCAAUCCCACCGAGGCCG
rnacentral:tRNA from 1 species